rnacentral:lncRNA from 1 species
UUGGAUAGGAAUGGGGAUGUGAUUGGAUAUAUAAGAGACUUAGACGCUAGUAAUAAUAACCGGGCUUAAGCAUUUUGGGCCAGUAGUGGGGCCCAACGAGUUAUUGUUGCUAGUGGGCUGGGUCGUUACAUUUGGUAUCAGAGCCAAUCACCAGCUGAAAAUAUGUGGCGAGUCUCGGCUGAGCCAGGGUCUGAAAGAUAAGGUGAUAGGCUAUACCGUAGUCUGUAUGACAAGAUGACCAGUUAUGUCAGGGUCUGGAUGACAAGGCUAGCGAGACGAGUCUCACAUCGCCUUGUGAUCUUGGGUUGUGUGUGUGAUUGGACUGACGAGAACGUCAGGGUCUUAACGGGGUGAGUCUCACAUCGCCCGAUGAUCUUGGGUUGUGUGUGUGAUUGGACUUACGAGAACGUCAGGGCCUUAACGGGGGAAGUCUGUCACACCCUCACACCCCAAUAAUCCCACAUCGGAUAACCUGGUGAUCUUGGGUUGUGUGUGUGAUUGGACUGACGAGAACGUCACAGUCUUAACGGAGGAAGUCUGUCACACCCCAAUAAUCCCACAUCGGAUAGGAACUUAGACACUACUAAUAAUAACCAGGAAUGGGGAUGUGAUUGGGUAUAUAAGAGACUUAGACACUAGUAAUAAUAACCAGGCUUAAGCAUUUUGGGCCAGUGGUUGGGCCCAACAAGUAAUUAUUGCUAGUGGGCUGGGUCGUUACAAAAAGUAUAACCACGGUUGAAAAAGUUCAAGAUAUCUUCUCCUCCCUCUUGCUUCACUCUAUUUACACCUUCCAUCGAGCCUCACUCUACAAAGAACAAUGUUAGCAUGCUUCAAAAUCCUAUACACUCUUUAGCAAUAGAGAAUUAAUAAUGCAUAAGAUUUUUCGAUACUUAUAGCGAGAAUAUGAGAGCUUGCACCGAUCUUGCAAUUAUGUUGGGUGGCAUGACAAGAGAAACCCCUAAAUUUCAAGGGCAAAAGAGAGAGGGUGAGGGGUAGCUUUUUGGAAAACAAGGGUUGGAAUGCGGAUGGAGACACUAGCCGAUCAUUGGCGCUAACCAUUAAUGCAAAAAACUUGAGCUGUUAGAAGAACAUAAUCGAUUCACUUAAAGUAUACAGUUACAGUACCCACCGGUCUCAAUUGUGACUCGAUCCUAUUAGGCCACGCCAUUUCGAACAUGACUCGGCAUAACGCGGCCUCCCGCCAUUUCGAACAUGACUAUAUCCAACCUGACCUCCCGCUACAUGACAUGAUGCUGACUAUUUAAGCCAACAGGCACGUUGGGUGGGAGGGAUACAUUACCAAACUAUGCAUCUAGAUUGCACUUAAUUUCUGUUGAAUCUCAUUUCUAUGUCUGUUGCUAACCGUGAUUAUCAAUAAUAAAAUUUUUAACAGACGUAAAUUUUUGGUUGAAUACAUUAAAAUAAUUUGAACUUUUGUCCACAUACAGAUUAUCUAAAUUUAAAAGUUUUCUUUAUUCAAACUUUAAUUUUUUACCAUUAAUCGCUCUAGAUUUAAAUUACAUCAAUUGAUUCACAUUUCCAGCUAAGUUUAUUUCUAAAUGAAAUAAACGAAGCGGGUAGCAUGCUACCUUUCUCUAAAAAAACAAAAAAAAAAGUUAAAAAGUAACUUCUUUGGAAAAUCAAGUGUACAAGCUUCAAUACCAUGUUCUUUUUAAAAGCAGUACCAAAUAUUUAAUUUGAUAGCUAAGAAAUAAAUUAUUAUAUUAUAUGGUGAAGAUAAUUAAAUGAACCAUAUUACGUGAAUCUACAAGAGAGAGAAUUAACGCGACCAAAAAAAAAACGAUUAAAUAAGAAUUUAAAGAUAAUAAACGUUUUAAACAGAAUGACAUUUUAACCGUUAGAGCUAAUUAAUAAAUGUUUUAAAUAUAAUUUUAAAUAUAGAAAUUAAAAAGAUUAAGAUUGUUGGUCAGAAAAAAAGAAAAAAGUUAUGAAUUUGAAUUCUAACCCAACUAACAAUCGCAAAAUCAAUUUCAACUUGAAUUUUAAAAAUUCAUAUCCAAAUCCGAAACUGACCAAUUUUUCAAAACCCAAAACCAAACCCAAACCCGAAGACCGAAAUCCGAAAUAAUUAUUUCUCUUUGCCAUAUUUCAAUAUAUUUUAUAUUAAAUUUAAAAUUUUAAAAUAUAAAUUUGAAUAUAAUAUUGCACUUUAUAUAUAUUAUUCGGG